GUCAGACACACACAGGAACUGUUGUCUAGUUGAAUCCUUUUAGCAGAGACUGAUCAAAUCUCUGACUGACAAAUUCACAUCAAGAUGGGGAACAUGCAGUGCCCUGCUGAGGAUGCAGCCCUCCUGGCCUCCGUCGCUCGAGAUAUCUGCCCUUUCCCAAACUACAAUCAUAAUCCGGUUUUCAAGAACAUGCUGUCAAUGAAUUCUUCACUUCACCUGAGGAACCACUACGAGGCAGUGCAGUCCUCUUGACCCCCAAGCAGCUGGACGACUUCACCCAGGGCCUGAGGACCACUUUUGGCAGGGAGGGCAAAGUCACUCUUGGCGGGGUGGGGGUAGUGGCCCUGUCUUUGGCUGUGCUGUUUGACACUCUUGCCAGACAGGUCAGGGGAGAGUGGGAGUCAGACUCAGGGCCCAUUCCAGGUUUAUUUGUCAAAAGCUUGAGAGGGUACUACCCACCGUAUGUCUACACAUUCAGCGAGUACCUGAGGCUGGUACCCCACAUUGUGAACAACCCCACCAGGAUGAGAGAGGAGUCAGAGAGGUACUUCAAGCAACUCACAAUCGACAUAAAACUGUGGAAAACAGCGAGAACCCGAUCUGUGAUGACGUCACAGUGGUUAACCACGUGCUUGGACGGUUAUUUCAAAGGAAUCUGCGCAUUCACCUACUCCGUAUUUCCAACUCUUCCGUUGUAGAAGAUGAUAAAAUGGGACAAACUUCUUGCUCAGAAAUCAUUGUGUUCCAUCUCAACUGCGAUCCAGAGGCAGCCAGCAUAGAUUUUUUGGCUGAAGUGCAGAAAUCACAUGACACUCAGAAAGCUUUUAAACAAUGUCAUCCAUCACAGCUCAGCCGAACCUGGUUGGAAUUCAUUGCCGAGCUAGCCUGGCUAGAUGUCAUAUUCGACCAGCGCUUUAUUGCAGAAAACUAUAAUGAAUUACUGUCAGCUCAAAGAGAAGAUUUUGACCUGAAAGCAAAUGCACUCAGAAAAUGGGCAGAGUAGUUCACCGGUCAUCUGUCCAAACAUGCAAGAAAAAAUUUUACUUUAAAAAGAAUACAAAUAAGAACUGCCAUUUAUCAUGCUGCAAAUCUUGUCAUGCUAUUUUUGGUUAAAACAAUUCAGAUCAUUUAAAAUAAACUAAAAUGAACUAAAUGUACUUACUGUACCACUCCCACCAAUGGCAAAUAAUAAUAAUAAUGAACAUAUAGAAAUGCAUAUUUUACAAUAUAAAUAAAAACACAGGAGUGCAUGCACAACUAGCUACAGUAAUAUGCACAUGUGGAUGCCUACAUACACAUUAAGGGACCUACGCUGUCUGAGGAAUAAAAAUCCUGUUUGCCCUCUUAGUGAUGCUGCUAUAAGCCUAGACUGUUGGGAGAUGCACCAAGCUCCUCUCUCUCCUCUCCUUCUCCAUGCUUUCUUAUCCCAUUUAUACAUGUUAAUAACUCCACUUCUUCACGAUCCCAUAGUUUUAUGCUUUCUCAUCCCUCUCCUCUCUCCUGUUGCUGUCACGUGUAUUUUGGGGUAUAUUAUCAUUUAUUUAUAUAUCAAAGUGACAGUAUGUAAUGACAAUGCACACUUUAAACAAUAAUCUACAACAUAAA